UCUCGCGCUUGUCCGCGCUGUUUGACAGCGGGUUUACAGCUCAGCAGCACGCGCACACGGCGUCAGAGCCAGGAGGACACGCGCCGCUGUUGACAGCCAAUGAAGUUCAGCAGCAGCAAUGGUUUACAUUGGAUAUCAAGCGCCAGAAAUGAUUGGACGUUGAAAACAACAAUUAAUGGGAAAUGUUUUCUCCUCGCUUUUAAAAACGUCAGUUGAAAACCACUAGUUUGACUCACACCCCAUCUGCUCCAAACUACAGCGGUGAAUAUUUUUAACUGUUGUGAUCUUAUG